UACGGAGGAUCCGAGCGUUAUCCGGAUUUAUUGGGUUUAAAGGGUGCGCAGGCGGAAUAUUAAGUCGGCGGUGAAAGUUUGCAGCUUAACUGUAAAAUUGCCGUUGAUACUGGUAUUCUUGAGUGUAUAUGAAGUAGGCGGAAUUUGUAGUGUAGCGGUGAAAUGCAUAGAUAUCACGAGGAACUCCGAUUGCGCAGGCAGCUUACUAAACUACUACUGACGCUCAUGCACGAAGGCGUGGGGAUCAAACAGGAUUAGAUA
rnacentral:rRNA from 1 species